rnacentral:rRNA from 1 species
AUUUCAAGGGGGUUUCCCCCGACCUCCAACCCUUUGUGAACACAAACUCGUUGCUUCGGGGGCGACCCUGCCGUUUGGCGCGGCGCCCCCGGAGGACACUCAACACUGCAUCAAAUGCGUCGGAGUACUUUGUUAAUAAAACAAAACUUUCAACAACGGAUCUCUUGGUUCUGGCAUCGAUGAAGAACGCAGCGAAAUGCGAUAAGUAAUGUGAAUUGCAGAAUUCAGUGAAUCAUCGAAUCUUUGAACGCACAUUGCGCCCCGUGGUAUUCCGCGGGGCAUGCCUGUUCGAGCGUCAUUUCACCACUCGAGUCUGACUCGGUAUUGGGCGCCGCGAUUCAUUUCGCGUGCCUCGAAGUUGUCGGCUGGGUUCAUCAUCUCCGAGCGUCGUGGCUUUCAGUCUCGCUAGGGAGUGUGAUGGGCACCGGCCGUUAAAUACCCCAUCAAAGGUUGACCUCGGAUCAGGUAGGGAUACCCGCUGAACUUAAGCAUAUCAAUAAGCGGAGGAAA